UAAAUGGCUAGAAAUCAGGGAAAAAGAAAAGGCUUUUUUAGAGGGUUAUUGAGCAGCAAUAGUUCUACGCCAAGUUUACUGAGAGGGGAUCCCCAUGAAAGGGGGGUUACGGGUUCUGCAAGGCGAGCCAGGCAGGAACAGGCGGCUAGACAUAGUCAGGCCCAACGUUCGAGUACCCUAGACCAUGUGCGUAGUCGCUUUGAGUGCCAGACUAGCCUGCGUAGUAAUACGGUCGGCUCAUGUUAUGAUGAUACUGAUUACGAUGAGUUUGUUUUUCGGGAAGAGUCUGUCGAUCAGGAUGAGUCUGUUGGUCAUCCUGUUGAUUGGACGCUCGUAAGUGGGCAUGCCGGUCAGUUUAGGAUAUAGAGGGCAUAGCACCGUUGGCACUUCUGAUCACGUAGGAGUCAGCCAGGUUGAGGAUGCAGCUCUAUGGGGAAAGAGGGGCUCACAGUCCGCGGACAUGGACUGGUUGAUCACAUCACCCCAGCCCGGGGACCCUGUUGACACCAGUUUAAUACCCAGCUACGGUGGGCACAUAGCAAAGGUUAUAUUUGAGGGAUCGGAGCGCACGCAUCCGAUUUCGGAUUGUCGCGCUAGGAAGAGGACGUUGGAGGCGAUCAUCAAACUGUAGGACAUGUUUGAUGAGCUGUACGGGGUGUUACCUACCACUUCUCUAGGUCGUCUGCCGUACAUAAUGCACCAGCACAUUGAUAGUGCUCUUAUUACGGCCUUUAUGGAGAGGUGGCAGCCUGAUACCAACACCUUCCACAUGCCAUGGGGGGAGAUGACCAUAAUGUUGCACGACGUACAACGUAUUUUAGGAGUUGGCAUUGACGGUUCACUUCCCGCUGAACCUACUGAUGGUGAGUGGAAGCUUGGCCUGGCCGGUCUGUUUGGGGAGCCAGUGUCGGAGCUGCGUAAGAAGGGGUACUUCACCAGCGGGAGCAUUAACAUUGGUGAAAUGUUGCAGCUAUGCCACCGUUCUCAGUCUCUGGAGACUCGGACUACUAUGUAUUACAUGGCUAUAGUGGGUUCCACGCUACUGGUGGAUAAGACUAGAGUCGGGAUGUGGCCUCACCUUAUGCUUACUGUGACUGCUGAUUAGGAUAAGAUUGGUUGGGGUGCAGUGAUGCUGGCUAACAUGUAUCGCCAACUGGGUAUGCCCACAAGGGCUGGGUGCAAAACUAUUGCUGGUUGUUUGACACUGUUGUAGACAUGGAUUUACGAGUACUUCCCAUCCUGCCGCCCAAGACCUCGUCAAGUUGAUAUGCCUAACAAGACUAGGGUGGAGAUGUGGUCCCCGCAGAAGCCAAUUCGUGAGCUGAGCAGACUGAGAGACUGUAGGAUUAUACUAGACUCCAUGAUAGAGACACAGGUGGAAUGGACUCCGUACAUGACUUCUUCUAGGGCUUUAUUGAACGAGCACCCACGCACCGCCUAUAUCGAAGGUAUCACCUGUUUUGAUAUCGUGGAGGUGUAUUUGCCUAAGAGGACAGUCAGACAGCUUGGUUUUGUACAAGCUAUUCAUAGACAGGCUGUUGAUGUGUAUUUGGAUGAACUUAGAGAUUUUUUUGCCGAAUGGCAAGAGUUUAGAGGGCACAGCCCUUCAUAGACAUUUAUGUUUGUAUUGAUGAAGAAUUUGUUGAUGUUGUGUUGUAUUUCUACACGGCAGUAACUAGUUUUAGUAUUAUGCGUUGCGUUUGAUUCACUAA